UAUUCUAUGGGAAAUUUAUUGCGAAUACUAAUUUUGAAAAACUACUAUACCUACUCAAGCCAAAAGAAAUUGAUAAAAGAUUUGUAUCUUAAAUUUACUCAUACAGUAAAUAAUAAUAAAAAUAAAGCGUUCAACAAUGGACUGCGAUUAUUCAAAAUUAUUCUAUGCUAAACGAAAAUGCCAAGAGAUGGAGCUUUAUCAACAAUAUCCAAGAAAGGAAAGAAGUUCAUUCUAAAUGAAUUUUUCCCGAUGAAUUUUAUUCGUUUUUCCUUUCGUCUUUUGGAUUCGAUCUCUAUAAUGUAUAUCAAGUACUAUGAACAACAACAACAUUUUGUCUGUG